rnacentral:rRNA from 1 species
GCUUACGGCCACACCGCCUUCUUCACGCCAGAUCUCGGAAGCUAAGAUAGGUUGGGCCUGGUUAGUACUUGGAUGGGAGACCGCCUGGGAAUACCAGGUGCUGUAAGCU